GGGUCAGUAGGUUGGUCGUGCCACCGGUACGUACUGGUCUCACUGAUUCCUCCUUCCUGAGGAACCGUAAUGCCAUUAAUUUGGUGUUGCGGGGAAACAGGACUGUUACCUUGAAAAAAUUAGAGUGUUUAAAGCAAGCUAACGCUUGAAUACAUUAGCAUGGAAUAAUGAAAUAGGAUGAUCGAUCCUAUUUUGUUGGUUUCUAGGAUUUACGUA
rnacentral:rRNA from 1 species